ensembl:lncRNA
CUGGGAACUUCCCUAUGCCAUAGGUACAGCCCUUAAAAUAAAAAAAAAAAAAACAAAAAAAAGAAAAGAAAAAGAAAAAAGAGAAAAGAAAAAAGUGAGACUGGGUUAAUCUAUUUCUUAUUUUUUAUGCACAGCUGGCUUUGGGAUCUGAGGUAGUCUUAAAGAAAUAAGGCCUUUUAGUUUCGCUGCAGGGUGGGGUUUGGCAUUUAGAGUGAAAUAUGCACAUAACCUGUUAAACGAGGUAGGCUUUAUUCCUUGCCCAGAAAAAGUUCCUAAUGCACCCAUGGAAGCCAUAUCUCCUGAAGGAACCAAACAGAAACCAAAACCAAACUGGCAUAUCUGCAUUUGACUUUAAAAAACCUUACUGGUUAAGCUUACAUGAUGUACCUAUCCUUUUAUUUAUUUAUUUACUUAGUUAAGGUCGGCAGACCUCUCUCAUAGUUUCCAUUAUUAAACUGUUCUCUCCUUUGACCUCAAUCAAAAAUAAUUAGAAUUGGCACUUACUGGCUACUGACUAGAUAUUGCUGUGAGUCGGUCAUGCAGAACUAUUUAUCUAAGCCUCCCUUGUGACGUAUAUAUUAUGAUCCAGUUUCCAAAUGAGGAAACUGAGGCCCAGGGAGGUUAAAUCAUUUGUUAAAGGUCAUUCAGCUCAGUUACGUGAAGAGCUGAAAUUUCCAUCCAGGCUGUCUGGUUAGAUUAAACGCAAACACUACCCAGGAGCAUAUGAAAUCAGGAUUUAGAAUUUUUCUAAGCCAUAAGAAUCUGUUUUGCCAGAGGGAAUGCUGAGAAAACGGAUGCCUUGUUUUUCCUGAGAUUCCUUUGAGUUCUCUUUAUUGUCCUUGAAAGAAGAAAGCGCUUAAAAGUUCACAAAUUUGGAAACAGGCUUCCCCCGUUGAUGAAGUAGCAGCAGAGAAGAAAAUAGACUCUGGGGGAGGCAGAAGUGGUUUGAUUUCUAGUGAAACCAACCAGCUGAGUGAUGCUGGGCAAGUCGCUUAUGGUCUCUGCAUUUUGGGUUCCUCAUUUGUAAAGUGAGUAAUAACAUAUCCUCGAGUUGUUCUAAGGUUUGAGUGAUACAAUUCAGGUAAUGUGCCUAAGGCAAAGCCUGGCACACACAGAGUGCUCAAGCAAGCAAACUGCAGAUAAACGUUUCAGAAUGGUGAGAAUAAAUUCUGGCUCUGCCACUGAGAAAUAAGACAACCUUGGAUCAUUAUUUCACUUUGGGGAACUUUAUAAAGGACAGGUAUCAUAUGGUAUAUAAAUCAAUAAUCUAGGGUGGUCCUUAUCACUUAACUAGGUGGCAUGUUUCUGCUCGUAAAAACAACACCACACAAAAGAAACAAAGCCCAGCAAGAGGAAACUAGGGAUGGUAUGUAUACCUAGUAUGUCAAUAUUUUGAUGUGUAGAAAAAGUUUUGUUUUGUUUUUUUUUUUAAAUAUCUUAGUGCCAAGAAACAAAACCACACAAUGAAGAUGGGUUUUUUUGGGGGAAAAAAAAAAGUUUUUACAGGAUGACAUAAUUUUUUUCUUUUCUUUUCUUUUUUUUUUUGUCUUUUUAGGGCCACCCUCAAGACACAUGGAGGUUCCCAGGCUAGGGGUUGAAUUGGAGCUGUAGCUGCCGGGCUACACACCAGAGCCACAGCAAUGCCAGAUCUGAGCCGUGUCUGCGACCUACACCACAGCUCCCACAGCUCACAGCAACGCCGGAUCCUUCACCCACUGAGCGAGGCCGGGGAUUCAAACCCUCAACCUCAUGGUUCCUAGUCGGAUUCAUUUCUGCUGUGCCACGACGGGAAUCCCCAUAAUUUUUUCUUUACACCACAGUAGUUAAAGUGGUUUAACAUUUCAUCGAUGAUGGAAUGAAUAAAGAAGGCAUUGUGUGAAAAACAAAAACUCAGGUAGUUGGUGUGUCACAGGGAACUUGAACCAGCGAGAUUUUUUUGCCAUCAUAGGUGGUUUUGUUUGUUUGUUUUUUGAAAGCGAUGGUUUUCUAAUUUGGAUUUGAUUAGCUUUUCAGCUCUUUCCCAUUGGAAUCAUGUCCUUUUAAAAUUAGGUAGGAUCGCCCUCUAGGGGUCAAACUGAAAAGAGACUAACUGCAAAACGGACUAAAUGUCAGCAGAUUAGAUCAUCAUGUACCAGCGCUGGCAGCAGAAACUCCUAAUUUAAGAAGAGAGGAUUUUAAGCUUUGCGGAGAGUCAGGAACUUUAGUAUAAUACCAGUAAUUGUAAUUCAGCUUACCUCCCUUCUGAGCUUCCCCAUUAUACUAAUUAAAUAAAGCAGCAGAUUUUAAUGACAAUCCCUUUCAAAAGCAGGAAGUUCAAAACAGUAAAUUGGAGUUUCCUGGUGCCUUAGCAAGUUGGGGAUCUGGCAGUUGUUACUGCUGUGGCUUGAGUCGCUGCUGUGGUGCCUGCUCGAUCCGAUCCCUAGCCCCAGGAACUUCCCUGUGUGUCAAAGUGCAGCCCCCCCCACCAAAGUAAAUAAAAGACACAACAGUUAGCAACUGAUAGUCGAUUUCUUUUUACUUAUUCCCAUCACUGCCAUGGAGUGAUUGCUUUAACUUUAUAGUCAUAAUUCGGUUAAUUUGUCAGGACUGGAUAGAAGGUAUGAAAAUGCCAGAUACACUAAAUUUUACUUGUGUCCUCUUACGUUGUCUGUUUAUGAAUGUGUUGGUGAAGUGCAUGGACUUAAAAGUGAGAGAGGCUGCAGUCAUAGCAGUGGGUACCUGGAUGUAGUAUAGGAGAAAUUCUUUUGAAGGUAUAUAAUUAUAGUGAUAAUUAAUAAAACAUAUUUAUGAAUGCUUGAAGAGAGCUAAAGCUGGCAUCCCAAUUUAAGAGAAAUAUUUUUCUUUAACAUUUACCUUGUUGUGAAAACGGCACUCCCCAAAGGUAUUUGUAUUGGUCCACUUUGAUCACUGAAGAUCCAGGGCAUUUGUUUCAAUAUUGGUAUCUUUUCAGCACUGGAGAAUCAGUUUUAGAACAAUAUAAGUUAUAUCUAAUAGCAAGCUGAUAAUCAAAUGUUGAAGUCAUUUACUCUUUUAGUACAUGUGACCCCUUAAUAAAUUAGUAGUAGAAAAAUAAUGGGACUUUGUAAACAGUGUCACUUAGUUCUGUGAGAUUUUCCAUCAGCAUGUUUAGAACAUGACAUUCAAGAAAAAGAAAAAAAUCGCCUUUCCUUUAAGGUGUUAUAUUUCUUUUUUUUUUUUUUUUUUUUUUUAGAAAGGCAACCCUUUCUCUUUUUUUUUUUUGGCUUUUUUUGUCUUUUCAGCACCGUACCCACAGCAUAUGGGGGUUCCCAGGCUAGGGGUCCAGUUGGAGCCACACUCAUGCCAGAUCCAAGCUGCAUCUGCGACUUACACCACAGCUCCUGGCAACGCGGGUUCAUUAACCCACUGAGCAAGGCCUGGGAUCAAACCCACAACCUCAUGGUUCCUAGUUGGAUUGGUUUCUGCUACACCAUGAUGGGAAUUCCUAAGGUGUUAUAUUUCUGAAUGGUUUUUUGAAAGUGAGCUGAAAGCUGAUUGGAUCUGAGCUGGCAAUUCUUUCAAGACCAUCAGUUUUAGGGGUCAGGCAUAAAAUCAGUAAACAAGAGUUAUAGCAUCAAUGAAAUACAACUCUGAGAGCCUAAAGACAGGAUGUGAAAAUGACUUGAAAGAUAUAGCACUUAAAACUCAAGAUACAGAAAUAUAUAGCCUUGAGGGAAAAACGUCUUUGGUUAAACUCAGAAAUACUGGACCACUAACCUAAAUUUAACAAGACACAUGAAGGAGUAUUUUUGUAUGGAGGAUCUGACCUGUGUAUAGUUUUAGGGAAUUAAAUAUUAUUCCCACUUAAAUAGCUGUUGACAAAUAUUAUAUUCUUUAUAAGACCAUGGAAAUAAAAGAAAAUAUUGCUCAAAAAGAAUCUACAGUUGUCUCUGUUGAUCUUAAAGACUGUCAGAAGGAGUGAUUAUUAACCUGAAAUUUGCAUACAUUAAUUUUGGUAAUGAAAUAACUUAGCAUUAGUUAAGCAUUUGAAAUUACAGAAGGUAUAAUGGGUUGAGUUUGAAUGUGGUUGCUUUUAGAAAAGAAAGGGUAAUAGUUAUAGAUUUAGUAUUGAGUACUUGUAAAAGGACUGGGACAUAUGAUAAAAUGAGCUUAAGAAGCAAAUACACACACUUGCACACACACACACACACACACACACUACACUUCAUAUAACAUCCUGAACAUUAUUUUUUCUUUAAGAUUAACUCGACUAAUUUAGGUGGUGUCUAUGAUAUUCAUUGGCUAACCAAACAAUGAUUUAAGGGAAAAAUGCAUGAUGUCAUAAGUGUGUACCCCCCAAACUUAAAAAAUAUCUUUUAUUUUAUUGCAGAGGUUUUACCCUUGGAAGGAUUGUUAAGGUUCUGAGCUCAAAA